CUAGUAUUUGUCAGUAUGUUCUGUAUUUUAAUGAUGUACACACUUCCUAAAAUAUACCUUGAAAUAGGUUAAGGAACUUUGCAUAGAUAAAUAGUAGAAAUUUCAGUGUUAGAGUUAAGCUCCCUAUGGUAUUUUAAGGCUUGUAGAAAUACCCAUGUGUUAAGUUGUCACAUUUUCAAAUUACAAACUUGUAACUGUCACUCUCUAACAGUGCGUGCAUAACUAUAUCCACAGCUUUGUGGGAAGAGAUGUUAUUCAAAGUAAUACAUUUUAGGCAUUUUCUUAUCAUUAGAAGAGGCAUUCUUUAUUCACAAAUAUUUAAAUUUUGCAGUGUGAUGAAGUUGAGAGGGUGGCUAGAUGUGAAUAACAGCUGGGUUAGAACAAGUACCUCAGGAAUUUUGUCCAAGAUUAUUCCCAACAACUGCCCCUCUCUGAUCUCCAGCCAUGAAGAUCCAAUCUGUGAGCAAUCUGAGCUGACUUUCAACAGGGACCUAGUACGACCGAAAGGAGAUCCUGAAAUGUUAACAAAAGGGAGAUUCAUAUGUAACAACUCUGAAUCCUCUGAUUCUUCCUUUAUAUGUUACACUGGUUAGGCUGUAUUUUUAAAUGAGGCAAACUGUGGUUGACAAAUAAGAUACCC
rnacentral:lncRNA from 1 species